GUGAGGUUGCCAUACCGACAGCUGUGGCCGAGCCAGGCGACCAGAAACAGAACUGCGAGACACAGAGAGAGCUUGGUGACGGACAGAGGAAGAGGAGAGAGACAGAGCCUGGUGACGGACAGAGGAAGAGGGGAUCGACAGAGGCUGGUGACGGACAGAGGAAGAGGAGAGCGACAGAGCCUGGUGACAGACAGAGGAAGAAAGCGAAGAGGAGAGCGACAGAGCCUGUGGACGGACAGAGGAAGAGAGAGACUCAGACAGACUCUCCCAUCAGAGGUAAGAACCAACUCUGUUUCUACCUUCUCCCUUAUCUCUGAAGUGUACACUCCAUCACUCUCCCUUAUCCCUGAAGUGUACACUCCAUCACUCUCCCUUAUCCCUGAAGUGUACACUCUUUCACUCUCUCUUAUCCCUGAAGUGUACACUCUUUCACUCUCUCUUAUCCCUGAAGUGUACACUCUUUCACUCUCUCUUAUCCCUGAAGUGUACACUCUUUCACUCUCUCUUAUCCCUGAAGUGUACACUCCUUCACUCUCUCUUAUCCCUGAAGUGUACACUCCAUCACUCUCCCUUAUCCCUGAAGUGUACACUCCAUCACUCUCCCUUAUCCAUGAAGUGUACACUCCAUCACUCUCCCUUAUCCCUGAAGUGUACACUCUUUCACUCUCUCUUAUCCCUGAAGUGUACACUCUUUCACUCUCUCUUAUCCCUGAAGUGUACACUCCUUCACUCUCUCUUAUCCCUGUAGUGUACACUCCUUCACUCUCUCUUAUCUCUGUAGUGUGCACACCCUGACCAAACCAAAAUAAAAAAAGUCUCUCUAAGGUCAGGAUGUGACAGUACCCCACCCAAAGGUGCGGACUCCGGCCGCAAAACCUGAACCUAUAAGGGAGGGUCUGGGUGGGCAUCUAUCCGCAGUGGCGUCUCUGGUGCGGGACGUAGACCCCGAUCCACCUCUGGCUCACCCCAUUUUGGUGGCGCCUCUGGUGCGGGGACUCUCGCCGCGGG
rnacentral:lncRNA from 1 species